ACUGCUCAGUAACACGUGGCUAACCUGCCCUUGGGACAAGAACAACCCCGGGAAACUGGGGCUAAUUCUCGAUAGGCGAAGAACUCUGGAAUGAGUCUUCACCCAAAAGAAACAACGUUACGCUCGUAGUUUCGCCCAAGGAUGGGGCCGCGACCGAUCAGGUUGUUGGCGAGGCAAUGGCUCACCAAGCCUUUUACCGGUGCGGGCCGUGGGAGCGGGAGCCCGGAGAUGGGCACUGAGACAAGGGCCCAGGCCCUACGGGGCGCAGCAGUCGCGAAAACUUUGCAAUAAGCGAAAGCUUGACAGGGCUAUCCCGAGUGCCAUCCGCUGAGGAAGGCUUUUACCCAGUCUAGAACGCUGGGGGAAUAAGGAGAGGGCAAGUCUGGUGUCAGCCGCCGCGGUAAUACCAGCUCUUCGAGUGGUGUGGAUGUUUAUUGGGCCUAAAGCAUCCGUAGCUGGCUAAGUUAGUCCCCUGUUAAAUCCACCGAAUUAAUCGUUGGAUUGCGGGGGAUACUGCUUGGCUAGGGGACGAGAGAGGCAGACGGUAUUUUUGGGGUAGGGGUGAAAUCCUAUAAUCCCAGGAAGACCACCAGUGGCGAAGGCUGUCUGCUAGAACGCGCCCGACGGUGAGGGAUGAAAGCUGGGGGAGCGAACCGGAUUAGAUACCCGGGUAGUCCCAGCUGUAAACGAUGCAGACUAGGUGUUUGGACGGCCACGUGCCGUUCUAGUGCCGCAGGGAAGCUGUUAAGUCUGCCGCCUGGGGAGUACGAUCGCAAGAUUGAAACUUAAAGGAAUUGGCGGGGGAGCAC
rnacentral:rRNA from 1 species